AACGUAGGAGGCGAGCGUUAUCCGGAGUUACUGGGCGUAAAGCGCGUGUAGGUGGCUGGUUACGUCUGCUGUGAAAUGUCCCGGCUUAACCGGGACUAGGCGGUAGAUACGGAUCGGCUAGAGGGUGACAGAGGAGCGUAGAAUUCCGGGUGUAGUGGUGAAAUGCGUAGAGAUCCGGAGGAAUACCGGUGGCGAAGGCGGCAUCCUGGACCGACAUUGACGCUGAGGAGCGAAAGCUAGGGGAGCAAACGGG
rnacentral:rRNA from 1 species